ACGAACGCUGGCGGCGUGCUUAACACAUGCAAGUCGAACGGUAAGGCCCCUUCGGGGGUACACGAGUGGCGAACGGGUGAGUAACACGUGAGCAACCUGCCCUUGACUCUGGAAUAACAGUUGGAAACAGCUGCUAAUACUGGAUAUUCAUCGUCUCCUUCAUGGGGGGUGGUGGAAAGCUCCGGCGGUCAGGGAUGGGCUCGCGGCCUAUCAGCUUGUUGGUGAGGUAAUGGCUCACCAAGGCUUCGACGGGUAGCCGGCCUGAGAGGGCGACCGGCCACACUGGGACUGAGAUACGGCCCAGACUCCUACGGGAGGCAGCAGUGGGGAAUAUUGCACAAUGGGCGCAAGCCUGAUGCAGCAACGCCGCGUGCGGGAUGACGGCCUUCGGGUUGUAAACCGCUUUCAGUAGGGACGAAGGGUGACUGACGGUACCUACAGAAGAAGGACCGGCUAACUACGUG
rnacentral:rRNA from 1 species